rnacentral:rRNA from 1 species
CCUACGGGUGGCUGCAGUGAGGAAUAUUGGUCAAUGGGCGUAAGCCUGAACCAGCCAAGUCGCGUGAGGGAUGAAGGUUCUAUGGAUCGUAAACCUCUUUUAUAAGGGAAUAAAGUGUGGGACGUGUCCUGUUUGAUAGGUACCUUAUGAAUAAGGAUCGGCUAACUCCGUGCCAGCAGCCGCGGUAAUACGGAGGAUCCGAGCGUUUUCCGGAUUUAUUGGGUUUAAAGGGUGCGGGGGCAGCCUUUUAAGUCCGCGGUUAAAGUCUGUGGCUCAACCAUAGAAUUGCCGUUGAAACUGGGAGGCUUGAGUAUGUGUGAGGCAGGCGGAAUGCGUGGUGUAGCGGUGAAAUGCUUAGAUAUCACGCAGAACCCCGAUUGCGAAGGCAGCCUGCCAAGCCAUGACUGACGCUGAUGCACGAAAGCGUGGGGAUCAAACAGGAUUAGAUACCCCAGUAGUC